CCUACGGGUGGCAGCAGUGAGGAAUAUUGGUCAAUGGGCGAGAGCCUGAACCAGCCAAGUCGCGUGAAGGAUGAAGGAUCUAUGGUUUGUAAACUUCUUUUAUAUGGGAAUAAAGUGAGGAACGUGUUCCUUUUUGUAUGUACCAUAUGAAUAAGCAUCGGCUAACUCCGUGCCAGCAGCCGCGGUAAUACGGAGGAUCCGAGCGUUAUCCGGAUUUAUUGGGUUUAAAGGGUGCGUAGGUGGGUAAUUAAGUCAGCGGUGAAAGUUUGUGGCUCAACCAUAAAAUUGCAGUUGAAACUGGUAGACUUGAGUACAGUUGAGGUAGGCGGAAUGCGUGGUGUAGCGGUGAAAUGCAUAGAUAUCACGAAGAACUCCGAUUGCGAAGGCAGCUUACUAAACUAUAACUGACACUGAAGCACGAAAGCGUGGGGAUCAAACAGGAUUAGAUACCCGGGUAGUC
rnacentral:rRNA from 1 species